GCUUGAAUUUGCAUAAUAGGUUGGUUAGGAAUAUGAAAGCUAACAACCUUACGAAAGCAAUAAAUUUUUGCAUGAUGAGUAGUUAAUCAAUCAAUCCCUAGAAUCACAUCAAAUGCAAGUAUUUUCAAAGAAUAAGAUCGACAGGUAACGUGUGGAUGCCGAUUUGAACUAAACAAGACUUAUAAACAGUGGAUGUAAUGAAG
rnacentral:lncRNA from 1 species